AUUGAACGCUGGCGGCAGGCCUAACCCAUGCAAGUCGAACGAGUGGCGGACGGGUGAGUAAUGUCUGGGAAACUGCCUGAUGGAGGGGGAUAACUCCUGGAAACGGUAGCUAAUACCGCAUACCAUCAGAUGUGCCCAGAGGGGAUUAGAUUGUUGGUGGGGUACCGGCUCAACAAGGCGACGAUCCCUAGCUGGUCUGAGAGGAUGAACGGCCACACGGGAACGGAGACACGGCCCAGACUCCUACGGGAGGCAGCAGGGGGGAAUAUCGGACAAUGGGGGCAAGCCUGAUGAAGCCAUGCCGCUUGUAUGAAGAAGGCCUUCGGGUUGUAAAGUACUUUCAGCGGGGAGGCGUUACCCGCAGAAGAAGCACCGGCUAACUCCGUGCCAGCCGCCGCGGUAAUAC
rnacentral:rRNA from 1 species